rnacentral:rRNA from 1 species
AGAGUUUGAUCAUGGCUCAGGAUGAACGCUAGCGGUGUGCUUAAUGCAUGCAAGUCGAACGAUUCUCUUGGAUUCGUCUGAGAGGGUAGUGGCGGACGGGUGAGUAACGCGUAGGUGACCUACCUUAGAGUGGGAAUAACUAUUGGAAACGAUAGCUAAUACCCCGGAUGUUAUUAUUUUUAGAAGAUAAUAACUAAAGCUCCGGCGCUCUGAGAUGGGCCUGCGUCCCAUCAGCUAGUUGGUGAGGUAACGGCUCACCAAGGCUUAGACGGGUAGGGGUUCUGAGAGGAUUCACCCCCACACUGGUACUGAGACACGGACCAGACUCCUACGGGAGGCAGCAGUAAGGAAUAUUGGUCAAUGGACGCAAGUCUGAACCAGCCAUGCCGCGUGAAGGAAGACGGCCCUACGGGUUGUAAACUUCUUUUGUACAGGAAAAAACCACCGGUCGUGAACCGGUGCUGAUGGUACUGUAAGAAUAAGCAUCGGCUAACUCCGUGCCAGCAGCCGCGGUAAUACGGAGGAUGCAAGCGUUAUCCGGAUUCAUUGGGUUUAAAGGGUGCGCAGGCGGGUUUGUAAGUCAGUGGUGAAAUACUGCCGCUUAACGGUAGGAUUGCCAUUGAUACUGCAAAUCUUGAGUAUGGUUGAGGUAGGCGGAAUGUGCAGUGUAGCGGUGAAAUGCAUAGAUAUUGUACAGAACGCCGAUUGCGAAGGC